rnacentral:rRNA from 1 species
AUUGAACGCUGGCGGCAGGCCUAACACAUGCAAGUCGAACGAGUGGCGGACGUGUGAGUCAUGUCUGGGACACUUCCCUCUGGAUGGGGAUAACUACUGGAAACGGUAGCUACUACCGCAUACCCUCGCAUUUGCCCAUAUGGGAUUAGCUGGUAGGUGGGGUAAAGGCUCACCUAGGCGACGAUCCCUAGCUGGUCUGAGAGGAUGACCAGCCAAACUGGAACUGAGACACGGUCCAGACGCCUACGGGAGGCAGCAGUGGGGAAUAUUGAACAAUGGGCGCAAGCCUGAUGAAGCCAUGCCGCGUGAAUGAAGAAGGCCGUCGGGUUGUAAAGGACUUUCAGCGGGGAGGCGUUACCCACAGAAGAAGCACCGGCUAACGCCGUGCCAGCAGCCGCGGUAAUUC